UAAAAAAAGGAAAGUCAAAGCACCCAAAAAAGAAAUCAACUCACGACAUCUAUAGAGCCUUUUGAUAAUGUGAGUCUUCAUAAACACCCAAAAAUUGCCAUGAGUUCAUACAGUUCCUCACCACAUCCAUGCGACCUUUUGAUCGAGAUGCCCAGGCCUUGGGCUUCACCGUCUCUCACCUAUCGACUUCAAUGGCAUGUUGACCGCUGAAGUGAAGAGGCAUAUGAAAAGUUUCCAUCUUGUGAGAAGACAAUCUAAGAAUAUAUCCUCUAUCGCAUAGGCGACGACCUUGAGCUCUACGAGCCCCUUAUGGAUCAAAUCCACGACUACUUCACCAACAAAAUGGAGGUUGUCAAAACGCUCUUCUUAGCUAAGACGUCUACUAGUCAAAAGCAAGGGAAGAAAAUAAAGUUUUAAAAAGUAUAAAAUUUCUAUAAAUGAAAUCAUCGACGUCCAAAAACAAUGUCGACUUUUAUAUAAUAAAAUCAAGCUCAAUAAAUUUCUCUAUUCGCAAAAAUAUCUGCUACAAAAUUCAAAGCCCCUGAUAAAAUCUACAAACAUAUUCAACCUCGUUACUCGCGACAAGCACGCCAAAUAGUGUUUAUAAAGACCAAAUUCAACCUAACAUCUGGAUAGUAUCAACUAAAAUGAUCUAAGCUCUAACGUAUAAACACCAAGCUCAAUAUACACCAUGCCGAACACUGUUCAUUACAUAGACCUCUCGUCAAACUGAAAUGAUCUGAGCCUCGAAUGUGCAUAUCAAGUCAACUAACCUAACAUUUUAAAACAAUGUCUAUAGAACAUAACAAUCGCCUCUGUCGAUUAAAAAAAGUCGAUGUUUGAUUGACCGUGUGUAUCGAUCUCAACAAAAACAAAAAGCAAUAAAGAGUCUUACCAUACCACAUAUAAAACAAACAAUUAUUCCAAGGCAAACGACAUAAAGAUCAAAAUAAAUCGAAAUACAUGCAUUAUUAAAGCAUAAAAAUGAAUGUAGUCACGCCCCAUAAAAACGAGCCUGCUCCUUCUCCUUGACAAGAU
rnacentral:lncRNA from 1 species